rnacentral:rRNA from 1 species
CCCUUAGACGUUCUGGGCCGCACGCGCGCUACACUGACACAGGCAACGAGCUUUCCUUUACCUAAAGGUAUGGGUAAUCUUUUGAAACUGUGUCGUGCUGGGGAUAGAUCCUUGCAAUUUUUGAUCUUAAACGAGGAAUUCCUAGUAAGCGCGAGUCAUCAACUCGCGUUGAUUACGUCCCUGCCCUUUGUACACACCGCCCGUCGCUACUACCGAUUGAAUGGCUUAGUGAGGCCUCAGGAUCCGCGCUUAAUGUGUGGAGAAUUUGGACAAACUACGUCAUUUAGAGGAAGUAAAAGUCGUAACA